GACAGCAGUAGCCACGGUAAAACGAACCGUGCGAACGUUAUUCGGAAUCACUGGGCUUAAAGCGCGUGUAGGCGGGACGGCACGUCGACUGCUGAAAUCCCUCGGCUUAACCGAGGAAGUGGCAUCGAUACGACCGUCCUGGAGGAACGUAGGGGGACCUGGAACUUCCGGUGGAGCGGUGAAAUGCGUUGAGAUCGGAAGGAACGCCCGUGGCGAAAGCGAGGUCCUGGACGUUUUCUGACGCUGAGACGCGAAAGCUAGGGGAGCGAACGGGAUUAGAUACCCGUGUAGUCCCUGUCUCUUAUA
rnacentral:rRNA from 1 species